rnacentral:rRNA from 1 species
UACGUAGGGGGCAAGCGUUGUCCGGAAUCAUUGGGCGUAAAGAGCGUGUAGGCGGUUCGAUAAGUCUGCUGUGAAAGUCCAGGGCUCAACCCUGGGAUGCCGGUGGAUACUGUCGAACUUGAGUCCGGAAGAGGCGGGCGGAAUUCCUGGUGUAGCGGUGAAAUGCGCAGAUAUCAGGAGGAACACCGGUGGCGAAGGCGGAUCUCUGGGCCAUUACUGACGCUGAGGAGCGAAAGCGUGGGGAGCGAACAGG